rnacentral:lncRNA from 1 species
CCGCAGUGUGUCUGUGAGGUCAGUGGCCUGCAGUGAGCAUGUUCCCAGUGUUUUCCCUGACAUGUGAUGCACACCACCAUGUAGAUGGUAGGCUGUGCGUGGCGUGUGCCAGUGCUGCAGGCACAGACACACUGCUCCCCUCUCCUACGGCACUUCCUCCAUCUUCAGACACAGGUGCAGGUGCAUCCCUCCUGUUUCAGAGACACGGGUGCAGGUGUGUGGUGUGGACCCAGGCAGACUUUGGCACAUGCUCAGGGGUAUGCAGGCUCCAUGUUCUCUCAGAAUGAGGAGUGACCACAGUGAAGGCGGCAAGGGGAGGCCCUGGAGGAGAGAGCACGUGCCCCCAACCAUGAGGAAGCAGUCUAUGAACAUCAGGUCUGAAUUACGAUUAACGAAGCGGAUGAAGAGGCUCCAAGACUGCGUGAGCUCCGAGACCUUCUAGUUCCGGGGCCCAGCGUGCAGGCCCACAGAGAGUGGGGAGGUCUCGGAGGGAGGAGGCAGCGUCCCUGGGCCGCGCACCCCUGAGCCGGGGACAAUUCUGGAAAGAACGUGGGGAGAAGCAGAGGCCUGAGACACAGGUGGCUCGGAGCACAGCAGCGGCGCCCAAUCCUGCCUUAGUGUGGAUGUGGAGUCUGUCUCUCAUCCCUUCUCUCCCAGGGGAAAACUCCGUUUUGAAUUUCCUUCAGCUCUUCAUAUCUGUCUUCUUUGGCAAAUAAAGGAUUAAAAAAAGAGAAUGAGAGAAAAACAGCUUUGCUGUAGAGAAGAGAAAAAAAAUAAAGGAAAAAACACCAAAACACCAACAGAAGUCGGCGUUAUAAUCCGUAGUCGCAGACACAGAAGUGGUCCGGGAAUCCAGACCUUCAUCUGUCCGCUCACGCCCCUGGAGGCAGCAUGUGGAGUCUGAGGACUGAGAGGCUGCCAGGAUGUGGCAGCCUCCUGGCUUGUAUCUGUCCCGGUGCUUCGAGGGCAGGCAGGGGCUGCCUCAGUCGCUUGGUCUUGCUCCUCAGCUUGGUUGGGUUCUGAGUGACAAUGACCCCCCCGGUACAGUUCUCUCGUUAAACGCUGACAGAAACGUCCUGGAGACCUCCUCGUCUCCUGCUGCUGCCCUGGGCCCCAGACUCCUCUCAAAGGGAUGCAGCCUCGGGGCGGGGCGGCCCCACUCGGGUCUCCUUCUCGGCUCCUGUGGCGGCCUGGCCUCCAACCAUCACACAUUCCCCAUGUUCUCACCUAAGUUGUCAGAAGACUUGAACCACAGGUCUGAAAACCCCUGCACUUUAUCAGUUCAGGGUGACAUUGUUCUAAUUUUUAAAAAUUACAGCACUCUCUCUUUUUUCCAGAAAGGGUAUAAACAAGCAGACAGUUUGGGUUGUAUUUUCCCUUCCUUGCCAUAAGCUCUUCUUUGAAUUGCCAGAGGGAAUGAGCU